rnacentral:rRNA from 1 species
UACGGAGGGUGCAAGCGUUAUCCGGAUUCACUGGGUUUAAAGGGUGCGCAGGUGGGCAAGUAAGUCAGUGGUGAAAUCUCCGGGCUUAACCCGGAAACUGCCAUUGAUACUAUUUGUCUUGAAUACUGUGGAGGUCAGCGGAAUAUGUCAUGUAGCGGUGAAAUGCUUAGAUAUGACAUAGAACACCAAUUGCGAAGGCAGCUGGCUACACAAAUAUUGACACUGAGGCACGAAAGCGUGGGGAUCAAACAGG